GCCAGACAAAAGAUAAAUAAAUACCAUCUCUGAUUGUACCGUGGAAUAAACAUUGUCGCUAUUUUAACAUAAUUGUUUUGGAAAUGAUCUUCGCCAAAAUAAUUAAGAAUAAAAAUUGCAUUCAUCGCUAGAUGCCAUAUAAACCUCGUGUAGUUUUUUUUUCUGAUGUUUUUUUUUAGCCUGCAACAUAUGUCUCUUCCCUAAUAUUCGGUCGCUUGUAUAUAUGUAGAUACAUACAUAUUCGUGGGGCCAUUUUAUCUGAGGUUCGUGUAACAUCCCAAAAUUUCAAACUUUUACAUGUGCAUUGCAUCCAUGAGCAUCAUACCACAAUUGCAUAUUUGAAUUCAAAUUUUGAAUCUCAAAAGGGCUCUAAAAGACUUUGUUUACACCUAUUUGAGCUUUGGAUCUUCAAACCAUUAAGGUUUAUAUACAAAAGGGGUUUAAUGCAUAUAUAAGCUAUCCCAUAAUUUUUGGACAAUUAUUUAGAGUUGAAAAAGUAUUUUAUUUAAAUAGAUAUAUGGCCCUAAAGGCAUUUAUAGGGCAAAUGUAUUUUUAUAUAUUUUAUUUUGAAGAUAAACUAUUUCCAAAAGUGUAUCAUGGUAGAAUAUGAUUUUAGAAAUUUUCUGGGAUUUAUUUGGACCAAUUUGGAGUUCAAACUCAAAAGAUAUCAAAGAAAUGAGAAAAACAGAAAAAGAAAAGGUCUAAAAGAAAAAAAAAAGGGUAAACCGGACCAGCCCGGCCACUUUGGGCCGAACCGGCCCCGUCCGACCGCGC
rnacentral:lncRNA from 1 species